rnacentral:rRNA from 1 species
AUACGGAGGAGGCAAGCGUUGUUCGGAAUUACUGGGCUUAAAGCGUGCGUAGGCGGGAUGGCAGGUGUCGUGUGAAAGCCCUCGGCUCAACCGAGGAAUUGUUCGGCAAACCGUCAUUCUUGAGGCCAGCAGGGGGACCUGGAACUUUGGGUGGAGCGGUGAAAUGCGUAGAUAUCCAAGGGAACGCCGGUGGCGAAAGCGGGGUCCUGGGCUGGUUCUGACGCUGAGGCACGAAAGCGUGGGUAGCAAACAGGAUUAGAAACCCCGGUAGUCC